rnacentral:rRNA from 1 species
GACGAACGCUGGCGGCGUGCUUAAUACAUGCAAGUCGAGCGGAAAGACCCUGCUUUUGUUGGUUUCUCGAUUGGCGAAGGGGUGAGUAACACGUGAGUAACCUCCCCUUGACUUUGUGAUAACUUCUGGAAACUGGGGCUCAUACCGGAGAGAAGCUGCUGCUGCGUAGUGUGCGUUGGAAAGUUUCGGCGGUUGGGGCUGUACUCGCUGCUUAUCAGCUGGUUGGGCUAGUAGUGGCUUACCAGGCCUUUGACGGGUAGGCGGCCUGAGAGGGUGACCGGCAACAUUGGGACUGAGAUACGCACCAGAAUCCUAUCGGAGGCAGUAGUCGGGAGUAUUGCGCAAUGGCCGGACGUGUGAUGAAGAAACGCCGGGUGCGGAAUAACGGGCUUCGAGUUAUAAACAGAUUUCGAAUGUGACGAAGAGUGAGUGACGGUAAUGGGUCAAGAAGCCCCGGCUAACUACGUG